UACAGAGGGGUGCGAGCGUUAAUCGGAAUUACUGGGCGUAAAGCGCGCGUAGGCGGCUUUGCAAGUCGGGUGUGAAAUCCCCAGGCUUAACCUGGGAACUGCAUUCGAGACUGCAUUGCUAGAGUAUGGGAGAGGGAAGUGGAAUUUCCGGUGUAGCGGUGAAAUGCGUAGAGAUCCGGAGGAACACCAGCGGCGAAGGCGGCAUCCUGGACUGGUCCUGACACUCAGGAGCGAAAGCGUGGGGGAGCGAUCCGG
rnacentral:rRNA from 1 species